GACGAACGCUGGCGGCGUGGAUUAGGCAUGCAAGUCGAACGGUAUCAUCCUUUCGGGGGUGAGAGAGUGGCGAACUGGUGAGUAACACGUAGGUUAUCUACCCUCAAGACGGGGACAACCCAGGGAAACUUGGGCUAAUACCGGAUGUGAGCAACUUUUAGUUGUUUGAAAGGUGGCGUAAGCUGUCGCUUGGGGAUGAGCCUGCGUCCUAUUAGUUAGUUGGUGAGGUAACGGCUCACCUAGGCAAUGAUAGGUAGGCGGCCUUAACGGGUGGUCGCCCACACUGGGAUUGAGAUACGGCCCAGACUCCUACGGGAGGCAGCAGUCGAGAAUAGUCUACAAUGGUCGGAAGACUGAUAGUGCGACGCCGCGUGAACGAUGAAUCCCUUCGGGGUUAAAGUUCUUUUAUAUGUGAGCAGUGCUUCUUAUAUUAACAGUAUGGGGAAGAGAUAUUAGCAUAUGAAUAAGCAAACGGCUAAACUCCGUGCCAGCAGCCGCGGU
rnacentral:rRNA from 1 species